rnacentral:rRNA from 1 species
UACGUAGGGGGCAAGCGUUGUCCGGAAUCAUUGGGCGUAAAGAGCGCGUAGGCGGCCCGAUAAGUCCGCUGUGAAAGUCCAGGGCUCAACCCUGGGAUGCCGGUGGAUACUGUCGGGCUCGAGUCCGGAAGAGGAGUGUGGAAUUCCUGGUGUAGAGGUGAAAUUCGUAGAUAUUAGGAAGAACACCGGUGGCGGAAGGCGGCCUGCUGGGCAGUCGCUGACACUGAGGCGCGGACACGUGGGGAGCAAACAGG